rnacentral:misc_RNA from 1 species
AACCAUAGAAACCUGCGGAGUACCUGCGGAGGGAUCAUUACCGAGUCACGUGCUCAAAUAACCCUUCUGUGGACCUGGAAUAAAACCGUUGCCUCGGCGGGCGGUCCCCCCAACCAAACCCCAUGUGGUGGGUUAGGGGACCAGACAGUCCGGCACGCUUAAGGCGUCCGGCGCCAGCCGCUGGCCCCAAACAAUUAAACUCCUAGUAACCUUUACCUUCUGAGUUUCAAUAUUUUAAAA